CAUGGCUUUGAACUCGACCUCGCAGUGGGAACCGACCUUCAAGUAUGAUGAGAGCCUGCCAUCACUGCCGGUUCCACCGCUCACUCAAACUCUCAACAAAUACCUCGAAUCGGUGAAGCCAUUUCUGUCGGAAGAUGAAUACAAGGAAACAGAGAGGAUUGUGGGGGAGUUUGGUCGUGGUGUUGGCAAAAACCUUCAUACAAAACUCGAGGACAGAGCCAAAGAGAUGAAAAAUUGGCUUGAGCAAUGGUGGGAAGACAAGGCGUACUUGGAGACACGCCUUCCC